UACGGGGGGUGCAAGCGUUGUUCGGAAUUACUGGGCGUACAGGGCUCGUAGGCGGCCAGUCCAAUUCAGUUGUGAAAUCUCCGAGCUUAACUCGGAAAGGUCAACUGAUACUGCUCGGCUAGAGUGCGGAAGGGGCAACUGGAAUUCUUGGUGUAGCGGUGAAAUGCGUAGAUAUCAAGAGGAACACCUGCGGCGAAGGCGGGUUGCUGGGCCGACACUGACGCUGAAGCGCGAAAGCUAGGGGAGCGAACGGG
rnacentral:rRNA from 1 species